GGGCGAAUGGUCUAGGGGUAUGAUACUCCCUUCGCACGUUCUGAAUUGUUCAGAAUUAGGUGACUGGGAGGGGUCCGGGGUUCAAUUCCCCGUUCGUCCA